rnacentral:rRNA from 1 species
UACGUAGGGAGCAAGCGUUGUCCGGAAUCAUUGGGCGUAAAGCGCGCGUAGGUGGCUUCGUAAGUCCGUUGUGAAAGUCAAAGGCUCAACCUUUGAAAGCCGAUGGAUACUGCGGAGCUAGAGUACGGAAGAGGCGAGUGGAAUUCCUGGUGUAGCGGUGAAAUGCGCAGAUAUCAGGAGGAACACCGGUGGCGAAGGCGGAUCUCUGGGCCGUAACUGACGCUGAGGAGCGAAAGCAUGGGGAGCGAACAGG